UAGGGAAUCUUCGGCAAUGGACGGAANNNUGGACCGAGCAACGCCGGCGUGAGUGAAGAAGGUUUUCGGAUCGUAAAGCUCUGUUGUAAGAGAAGAACGAGUGUGAGAGUGGAAAGUUCACACUGUGACGGUAUCUUACCAGAAAGGGACGGCUAACUACGUGCCAGCAGCCGCGGUAAUACGUAGGUCCCGAGCGUUGUCCGGAUUUAUUGGGCGUAAAGCGAGCGCAGGCGGUUAGAUAAGUCUGAAGUUAAAGGCUGUGGCUUAACCAUAGUAGGCUUUGGAAACUGUUUAACUUGAGUGCAAGAGGGGAGAGUGGAAUUCCAUGUGUAGCGGUGAAAUGCGUAGAUAUAUGGAGGAACACCGGUGGCGAAAGCGGCUCUCUGGCUUGUAACUGACGCUGAGGCUCGAAAGCGUGGGGAGCAAACAGGAUUAGAUACCCUGGUAGUCCACGCUGUAAACGAUGAGUGCUAGGUGUUAGACCCUUUCCGGGGUUUAGUGCCGUAGCUAACGCAUUAAGCACUCCGCCUGGGGAGUACGACCGCAAGGUUG
rnacentral:rRNA from 1 species